rnacentral:rRNA from 1 species
GAUGAACGCGGCGGCGUGCUUAACACAUGCAAGUCGAACGAUGAAGCCCAGCCUGCUGGGCGGAUUAGUGGCGAACGGGUGAGUAACACGUGAGUAACCUGCCCUUGACUCUGGGAUAAGCCCGGGAAACUGGGUCUAAUACCGGAUAGGAGCGCCUGUCGCAUGACGGGUGCUGGAAAGAUUUUUCGGUCAUGGAUGGACUCGCGGCCUAUCAGCUUGUUGGUGAGGUAACGGCUCACCAAGGCGACGACGGGUAGCCGGCCUGAGAGGGUGACCGGCCACACUGGGACUGAGACACGGCCCAGACUCCUACGGGAGGCAGCAGUGGGGAAUAUUGCACAAUGGGCGGAAGCCUGAUGCAGCGACGCCGCGUGAGGGAA